UGGGGAAUUUUGGACAAUGGGCGCAAGCCUGAUCCAGCCAUGCCGCGUGCGGGAAGAAGGCCUUCGGGUUGUAAACUGCUUUUGUACGGAACGAAACGGUCUUUUCUAAUACAGAAGGCUAAUGACGGUACCGUAAGAAUAAGCACCGGCUAACUACGUGCCAGCAGCCGCGGUAAUACGUAGGGUGCGAGCGUUAAUCGGAAUUACUGGGCGUAAAGCGUGCGCAGGCGGUUUUGUAAGACAGAGGUGAAAUCCCCGGGCUCAACCUGGGAAUUGCCUUUGUGACUGCAAGGCUUGAGUGCGGCAGAGGGGGAUGGAAUUCCGCGUGUAGCAGUGAAAUGCGUAGAUAUGCGGAGGAACACCGAUGGCGAAGGCAAUCCCCUGGACCUGUACUGACGCUCAUGCACGAAAGCGUGGGGAGCAAACA
rnacentral:rRNA from 1 species